UUUCCGUAGGUGAACCUGCGGAAGGAUCAUUAAAGAGACGUUGCCCUUCGGGGUCGACCUCCCACCCUAUGUUUAUCAUACCUCUGUUGCUUUGGCAGGCCCGUCCUCGGACCACCGGCUCCGGCCGGUCCGUGCCUGCCAGGGGACCUAAAACUCUGUUUGUUAAUGCAGUCUGAGUACUAUAUAAUAGUUAAAACUUUCAACAACGGAUCUCUUGGUUCUG
rnacentral:misc_RNA from 1 species